GACGAACGCUGGCGGCAUGCCUAACACAUGCAAGUCGAACGGUAAGGCUUCCUUCGGGAAGUACACGAGUGGCGAACGGGUGAGUAACACGUGGGUAACCUACCCUUGACUGGGGGACAACCGAGGGAAACUUCGGCUAAUACCGCAUAACGUGCAUUGCCUCAAGGUGGUGUACCAAAGCUCCGGCGGUUAAGGAUGGGCCCGCGGCAGAUUAGCUAGUUGGUGAGGUAACGGCUCACCAAGGCCACGAUGCGUAGCCGACCUGAGAGGGUGAUCGGCCACAUUGGAACUAAGACACGGUCCAGACUCCUACGGGAGGCAGCAGUGGGGAAUAUUGCACAAUGGGCGAAAGCCUGAUGCAGCAACGCCGCGUGAGUGAUGAAGGUCUUCGGAUUGUAAAGCUCUUUGAUUAGGGACGAUAAUGACGGUACCUAAAGAACAAGCCACGGCUAACUACGUGCCAGCCGCCGCCGUAA
rnacentral:rRNA from 1 species